rnacentral:rRNA from 1 species
GAUCGAACGGCGUAGCUACAGGCUUAACACAUGCAAGUCGAGGGGGCAGUCAGGAAGAAAGCUUGCUUUCUUUGCUGGCGACCGGCGCACGGGUGAGUAACACGUAUCCAACCUGCCCUUUACUCGGGGAUAGCCUUUCGAAAGAAAGAUUAAUACCCGAUAGCAUAAUGAUUCCGCAUGGUUUCAUUAUUAAAGGAUUCCGGUAAAGGAUGGGGAUGCGUUCCAUUAGGUUGUUGGUGAGGUAACGGCCCACCAAGCCUUCGAUGGAUAGGGGUUCUGAGAGGAAGGUCCCCCACAUUGGAACUGAGACACGGUCCAA